rnacentral:rRNA from 1 species
UUGGAAGCUCAAGCGGAAGGCUGUUUACUUAUGUUCUCUUAUAUGAAUCUCUUAUCUCCCGCUAUCAGGGAUCCUAUUUGUGUACCAACCUAAGACAUGCUUAUCAGGCUUUAUGUAUUAAUAAUUGAAAUUGAAGGCCCACGCUGCUAA